UCGAGAAUCUUCCGCAAUGGGCGAAACCCUGACGAAGCAACGCCGCGUGGAGGAUGAAGGCCUUCGGGUCGUAAACUCCUGUCGACCGGGACGAACGCUAUUGGGCCCAAUACGCCCGAUAGUCGACUGUACCGGUGGAGGAAGCCACGGCUAACUCUGUGCCAGCAGCCGCGGUAAUACAGAGGUGGCAAGCGUUGUUCGGAAUUACUGGGCGUAAAGGGCGCGUAGGCGGUCCUGUCAGUCCCUUGUGAAAUCCCCCGGCUCAACUGGGGAACUGCAAGGGAUACAGCAGGGCUUGAGUUCGGGAGAGGGAAGCGGAAUUCCGGGGUGUAGCGGUGAAAUGCGUAGAUAUCUGGAGGAACACCGGUGGCGAAGGCGGCAUCCUGGACCGGUAUUGACGCUGAGUGAGCGAAAGCCAGGGGAGCAAACGGGAUUAGAUACCCAUGUAGUCCCUGAGCGGGCUGGCAAGGCGCAU
rnacentral:rRNA from 1 species